rnacentral:rRNA from 1 species
AGGAUAAACGCUGGCGGCGUGCCUAACACAUACAAGUCGAACGUCUCUUCUUUCGGGAAGAGGAGUGGCGGACGGGUGAGGAACACGUGGGAACCUGCCCUUUAGUGAGGAAUACCGGCGAGAAAUCGCCGACAAGACCGCAUAGCCCUCUUUGAUGAGAGUCAAAGAAGGAAAGCUUCGCAAGAGGCGCUAGAGGAGGGGCCUGCGUCCGAUUAGCUAGUUGGUGGGGUAAGAGCCUACCAAGGCGUCGAUCGGUAGCUGGUCUGAGAGGACGAUCAGCCACACUGGGAUUGAGGACGGCCCAGACUCCUACGGGGGGCAGCAGUGAGGAAUUUUCGGCAAUGGGGGAAACCCUGACCGAGCAACGCCGCGUGCAGGAAGACGGCCUUCGGGUUGUAAACUGCUUUCUUUGGGAGAGAACGGACGGUACCAGAGGAAUCAGCCCGGCUCACUACGUGCCAGCAGCCGC